GUGGGGAAUAUUGGACAAUGGGCGGAAGCCUGAUCCAGCAACGCCGUGUGAGGGAUGACGGCCUUCGGGUUGUAAACCUCUUUCAUCAUUGACGAAGCUCCAUGUUUAUUGGGGUGACGGUAGGUGGAGAAGAAGCACCGGCCAACUACGUGCCAGCAGCCGCGGUAAUACGUAGGGUGCGAGCGUUGUCCGGAAUUAUUGGGCGUAAAGGGCUCGUAGGCGGUUUGUCGCGUCGGGAGUGAAAUCACUGGGCUUAACCGAGUGCUUGCUUUCGAUACGGGCAGACUAGAGGCAUUCAGGGGAGAACGGAAUUCCUGGUGUAGCGGUGAAAUGCGCAGAUAUCAGGAGGAACACCGGUGGCGAAGGCGGUUCUCUGGGAAUGUCCUGACGCUGAGGAGCGAAAGUGUGGGGAGCGAACAGG
rnacentral:rRNA from 1 species